rnacentral:rRNA from 1 species
UACGUAGGUGGCAAGCGUUAUCCGGAAUUAUUGGGCGUAAAGCGCGCGCAGGUGGUUUCUUAAGUCUGAUGUGAAAGCCCACGGCUCAACCGUGGAGGGUCAUUGGAAACUGGGAGACUUGAUUGCAGAAGAGGAAAGUGGAAUUCCAUGUGUAGCGGUGAAAUGCGUAGAGAUAUGGAGGAACACCAGUGGCGAAGGCGACUUUCUGGCCUGUAACUGACACUGAGGCGCGAAAGCGUGGGGAGCAAACAGG